CCCUGACUGGCCUGCACCUCCUUCUCUCUCACCACAGAUUGCUCAUGGCAGGUGACUCCUCGGUGAUUCAGGGAUGCCUCCUGUGCCUCUGCCUGGUGGCUUCGUACCUGGCCACCCUGAGCAGCCGCCUCCCAGACGCCCCUCCUGGGUUCUCUUCCAGUGAGAGUCCUGUAGAAUCUAAGAGUGACCUUAGAAUUGGUUGGCUCCUGCUACAGAUGAGAAAACUAAGACCCAGAGAAGAGAAGAACGUGAACUGAAGGAGCAAGGAUUAGAGCCCGGGAGUCUUGGUCCUGAAUCCAGUGCCAUGCCCAGCAGCCAUGUGGCCCGAAGACAACCUCAGCAGCCCCCUCCCUGAGACACUCCUGUCAGCUCACAUGGGGAGUAGGAGGAGUUUGCCUUCAAGGCCUGGACCCAACACAGCACCUGGAUAGGGUCCCUGCAGCUGCCUUCCUCGCUGCCAGCGCUCCUGCCAGCUCGUCUCAUCUCAGCUCACUCCCCGACCUUCCAUCCUCUCAAAGUCAGAGUCCUUUCUUCAGGAACCAUCAAGCCAUUCUAGUAGGCAUGAAGUGGUGUUUGCCUGCUUUUUUUGAUGGAGGUGGAGGAAUAGGGUGGAAUUGGUCCUUAACCAUCAAUUAAGCUGGGGGCCUUAGACCUCUGUGAAUUGGCUGUGACAAUAGCUAAAGGAGGCUGCUACCUCAUACUGAAGAGAUGUUUCCUAAGUUUGUCACCGGAGAGGGCACCGAACCAACUUAUUGUCUUGGAGGGAAGAAGCAGCAAGGCAGAAGACUUGAACUUCUCAGAGAAAAAAACAGUCUACAGACUUCAUUUUAUGCUGUCCUCACACACUACUGAAAGCUCUACCCUGGGGACCUGGCUUGACUUCUAACUAGCUGUGUUAUCUCAGGAGAGCUCCCAGCUGCUCUGAGUCUCAGUCUCUCAAUCAGUGAAAUGGAGGCAAUAGCACCUGCCUGGCUGCAUCGCCCCACAGUGCUGCAAUGAGCAUCCAACGAGAGAAAGCUUGUCACCUGUGUUGCAAACUAAGUUACACAAAUGCAGGCAGUAGCAGCUAGAAGAAAAUGGUUGGGAAUCUGAAAAGAAUUAAAGCCCCCCAUGAAUUUCUUCUCACGCCUCCUCCAAAAGCCAGGGACUGCUUCACCCCGCCUCCAGGACUGCUGCUCCAGCAUUUCCGGCAGCUGCUGACAGAAUGUAUGUUGCUUCUGAUCCCCCGUGGCACAGUCAAGCCCAGAUGGAGCAAGGGCCUCCCUCAGAGAGAGGCACCCAGGGCUCACCCUUCAAAGGAAGCACUUGGAGGGAUGGCUUCUCAAAGGUCACACAGGAAACUGAAGUUAAAGCCUGGAUCUAAACUAUAGGAGAAAUAGGAGCAUUUGAAUCCACACAUUUGAAUGUGGUAAUUAGUGAUCCCACUCCCCCGACCCAUCCCCAAUCUUCUGCCCAUCUGAGAGCGUUUAGAUGAUCUGAUGAUGUUAAUUUGAACUUCAAAACGCUUGAGAAAAAUGUCCACUUUGCUUUUUAAAAAUGGAAAGAAAACAAAAGUAAGUUACUCCAGAGACCUGGAUGCAUGUGGCCGUUCUAGUGACAACACAAUAAGGAAAAUAAAAUCCAUCCUAGGAGAGGAAAUUAUCCCACCAAAGUUCUUCUUGGCCCUUCCAAAGGCCAUUUACCUCUGGGCAUCUAUGCAGAGUUCACUCAUCACCCAGGAAUUACGUGAGGAGGGUUAUGCUUGCUACAAGGGAAGCCACGAAGAGUAAGACAGGAUCAGAUGGAAAAAUAAGACAUUUAAAUAUAAUGCUCCAAUUAAUAAAGCCCUAAGAGCCAACCUCCUUUGUAUGAAAUAAUCUGGGUUUAAAAACAAAAAAAGCAAAAAGCUUUAUUGAAGAAUGCAAAGUUGAGCUGUGGUCUUUGCAGCUGCCUGACUGAAAUAUAACCCUUGCUGAGAUGCUUCCUUUCUCACUGUGACGUAAGCUAGGCCCCCAGACUCCUGGCUAAGAGGAGAGACUUCAAAAUGCACGCUCGGCACCCAGCCUUCUGAUCAGUUUUAUCUGAGUCUUUCCCACACUUGUUCAGUGCACCCCAGCAAAACCAGGAGAGUUCCGUGUCUUCACUCCUUGUUGAGACUUGGUGAUUGAUUGGCUGGUUAUUCUUUAACCCAUUCACACUUAAGUGUUACCUCAACCCAGCCUUUGUGGGGUAAGCAUUUUCUCUCCUAAUUGUGUUAUAAAAAGAUUUUCAUCUUAUUAAGGAAAUCCAGACCUUGGCAGUUUAGCGGGGCAGAGUUAGUCUAAGAAGCCCCUGCAAUAACCGCAGGCUCACCCAGUCUGCCUCAAGGUUAACUGAGUUUCAUCAUUAGGUGACCUGGGGACCCCUGUCCUCCGGCCCCUUCCCUCUCCUCCCUGCUGUCCCUAACUUUCACUCUUCAGGAGGUGGCUGGUGGCCUAUUUCUGGAGAGGGUUAGGCAGGGGCAGACCACACUUAUGUCCAUAGCGUCCUCUUGGGCUUGAGCCAACGCCAUCAGAGUAAAUGUGUCUCUCAGCAAACAUCUCAUGUCCUCAAGGGCUGGACAUCCCUUUCCUCCGCAGCCAACAUCAAGGUGACCCCUGAUGUUAUCUAACAUAGUGUUAGUGGUAUUUCAUGCUUGCGCCCUAUUGACCUCUGAUGCAUCCCUAUGCUUCUUGCAAUAAUUUUCCCUCUAAUCAUAAAGGUUUAACCCCCUAAAAAGGAGGCAUUUGGAAGACCCUCUCUUAAUUCUUCAAACCCUGCAAGCCCUAAAUGGUGAAAGAGGGGCUCAUGCAGUGGUCAGAGGGUAGGGGUAGCACACUUCUCACAAGUUCAUGUGCCUCCCUAAAACGCAGAUCGUGACUCAUAGGUCUGAGGAGGGAGGGGCUGCAGGUUGCGCAUUUCACCUGGCUUACAGAUGACGCUCUGUGGCUCUACGGUCCACACACGAUCCCACAUGAGUCUCUGGCGGGGAGCUCCCUUCACCCAGAACCCCCAGGUGAGGAAGGCUUCUGAGAGGGGGCAGAGCUGAGGGCCGGUGUCCUCAUCUGUGGAGCCCAUGGGGAUGACCACCUGGAGACACACAGAGUGCAUCCUCUCAGUGACACCCUGAGAGGGAAUUCACUGACUCAAGGGUGGCAGGAAGGCCACUAAUUACCCAGAAGGCUGUUUGUGCCACCCAGGGAAAGAGGAACUGACCUUUUUCUCAUGGGGAAGUGCGUCUUCUCCUCUCCAAACCACAGGCUCACAAGCAGACCAGCUCAAGUGAAGUUCCUGCAAUGACCACUGGGUGUGGGCCUGCUUUUCCGGCCCCUGCUGAGAGGGGUCCCUGAGAGAGGUCCACGAGCCACGCAGGGCCACCAUUCCCCUGCCCUGGUUUGGAACCCCAGCCUCCCCCACCCGGAGCCAACUCGCCUCCAGCACACGGGCGCUGUGCCUCCCAGCCUAAGCCAGGAAAGAAAGCUGUGUACGCUGACACUUAAAUUAGAGCCUCGCAAUUAUCUCUCAAUCCCGGCUUGCCCUGUGCUGCUUUAUCACUGUUUUUUAUAGCUAAAGUUACUCGCCCUCGUUUUAAGUACAUUGUGCAUAAGGCAUAGGCCAACUUCUGAUAUAUUCCCACAAGCAAAAUUAAAUACCAGUAACAUGUGUUUUAGUGAAUUGGGUCCCUCAAUUUGCAUCUUAUAAUAAGGAUGUUAUCAUACUGGUUUAUGGCUGAGCUCUUUAGUUUUUAUCUCUCUGGGGCUAGAUUCCCCCUCAUGAGUUCAAUAUAAGUCCAUGAACUAAUGCAAUUUUUAAAACACUUUUCUUCUGUGUUAACAUUAACACCCUUAUGAGUGAAAGGGUUUUACUCCCCAAAGUGUACAGAAUGUUUGCAUUCACUGGAGGAUGUGGCGGGAUAUUAGCCCUCAGUGAUAGCUGUGGUUGCUCAUAAGUGAAAGGAGUUGAGUCUGUAAUCCAGUCUGCCACUGCG
rnacentral:lncRNA from 1 species